rnacentral:misc_RNA from 1 species
AAGUCGUAACAAGGUUUCCGUAGGUGAACCUGCGGAAGGAUCAUCAUUGAAUAAACUUGCACAGGUUGUUGCUGGCUCUCUGGGGCAUGUGCACGCCUGUCAUCUUUAUUUCUCCAACUGUGCACAUAUUGUAGACCUGGAGUUUUUGUUCUGAAAUCAUUUUCGAGUUGGGACUGCUGUGCUUCAUUCGGUUGAAGUGGGCUUUUCCUUACAUUUCUGGGUCUAUGUCAUUUCACAACCUCAUUUAGAAUGUCGAACCUAUAAAAGUUAAAUAUACAACUUUCAGCAACGGAUCUCUUGGCUCUCGCAUCGAUGAAGAACGCAGCGAAAUGCGAUAAGUAAUGUGAAUUGCAGAAUUCAGUGAAUCAUCGAAUCUUUGAACGCAUCUUGCGCUCCUUGGUAUUCCGAGGAGCAUGCCUGUUUGAGGGUCAUUAAUAUCUCAACCACAUCUGUGUGUGUGGCUUGGACUUGGGGGGACAGUGCAGGGACUUGUGUGGUCCUGCUCCCCUGAAAUGCAUGAGCGGUUUUGUGUGACCCCUGCUCUAGGUGUGAUAACAUAUCUGCAUCUGACCAGGGCUCCGAGCUGCCAUAGGAGAAAAGGCCCCUUUGCUCUUUGACCUCAAAUCAGGUAGGACCACCCGCUGAACUUAAGCAUAUCAAUAAGCGGAGGAAAAGAAACUAACCAGGAUUCCCCUAGUAACUGCGAGUGAACCGGGAAGAGCUCAAAUUUGUAAUCUGGCGGUCUCUGGCCGUCCGAGUUGUAAUCUAGAGAA